CAGCAGCAGCCGCGGUAAUACGGAGGGGGCUAGCGUUGUUCGGAAUCACUGGGCGUAAAGCGCACGUAGGCGGCUUUGUAAGUUAGAGGUGAAAGCCCGGAGCUCAACUCCGGAAUUGCCUUUAAGACUGCAGAGCUAGCAGGCGAGAGAGGUGAGUGGAAUUCCGAGUGUAGAGGUGAAAUUCGUAGAUAUUCGGAAGAACACCAGUGGCGAAGGCGGCUCACUGGCUCAUACUGGACGCUGAGGUGCGAAAGCGUGGGGAGCAAACAGGAUUAGAUACCCCAGUAGUCCCUGUCUCUUAUAC
rnacentral:rRNA from 1 species